GUUUUUAUAGUUUAAAUUUAAAACAUUGGUCUUGUAAACCAAAAAUAAGAAUAUUCUUUAUUAACU
rnacentral:tRNA from 1 species